GGCCAGUUCAUGCAGAGGAAAGCUCAGAGAGAAGAAACGGAUCAGAGAUGAAGAUCUCUUUGGCGCUUCCCCUGCAACUUCGAAGGGAAGAAUCAACAAAAUUUCCAGCAAAGGUAUGCUACUUGAGCUAGUAGUUUGAAAAAGAUAUGCAAAUGAUACAGUUGGGUUCUCUGGACUACAAAUUCAACAUCCAUGAGAACAACACCUGAGGUUUUUUUGCACAAAUACCCUUCUUCAUCUUGCACAACAAUGUGUUUUUGCAAUUUCCAUUCAUCGUCAAUAUAGUGUUCACGAGAAAAAUGUAAGCAACCCUUAAUGGUUAUGAAUGUCCACAAAUCAGAUGUUAAGUUGAUGCUUCCAGGAAUUGACUCAAGUUUUUAAGCCUUAUUCUUCUCUCCUGAAACAUCGGUCAUAGCCGUAUUUCUUGAUGUAUGUUUUUAACGCUCAAAAAAAUAUGAGCAAAUUACUUGAAUACCUUCGUACUCCACAAACGGGCAUAGUAAAUAAUGCAUAAUGAUGGUCAAGAGUAUAAGAUCCUUAUAUUUAUCCAGAUCAAAAUCAAAUAUUGAAGGACUCAUGCUUAUGUAGUAUUUGAAAUUAGAUAAAAAAAUUUCCCAACAUCCUUUUAGUACUAUUUUGCAACUAUCCAUGCACCUUUACAUAUUUUUAGUAUCAUGAUUUCUUUCCGCAGCAUAUUUUACCCCACACUUCUUUUACUCCGACUUUAUUUCGAUAAGUUCAAACAUUUUCUAUGCUUUUGAUAUUAAUAUUCUUUUCUUCUUUUUGUUAACUAUUCAUUUGCCCUUUUACGAAUAGCAUUAGAUUCUUCUUCUAAUCCUUGUUCUAGAUAAAUUUAUUUCUAUGUUAUCCUCAAUAUUCACACGAUUAUUAGUAGGACCAGAUUCCAUUAUCUGUGAAAUUCAUAAAACUACAUAAGAUUCGUUAUAUCAUCAUGUGACUAUAAUCUGAGGAAGUUAAGAUAAGCAUUGUUGGUUUAUAUCAAAAGAACUAAUGUUAUAGAUCUAUAUAAUAUUCAAAAUUAUCUGUGUAUUUAUGAAUUAAUUUUCUUUAGCUGUUGAUCAUGAAAUUGUUGAUUAAACAUGAGAUUCAAAAUCACCACAAAAAUGAUUAUCAAUACUCAAAAUCACAAAGAAUAACAUAGAUGAUUAAUAGAAAGAGGGAAACCAAACUUUAUUAUUAGUGAUAAUCUACUGUUCAUACUUCCAACAAUUGCAAGUUUAAUAUCAAAUAGAAAAGACUCACAUUUUCUACUAAGGUCACUCGCUUCAAUCUCAAACUAAAGCUUUUUAAAAAUUCUCACUGAAAUUUAAGCAAAUCAACCUUAUAUGAAGAAAAUAUGUUAGUAGCAAUAAAACUCUAAAGUUCUAGAGUUAAUUUGCGGCUAAGAGACUAGAAAGAGAGCACGACUGAGAAAGAGAUUAGGUAGAGAGAGAGCACGACUGAGAAAAAGACCAGGGAUCUCUAGCGACGGGUUCAAGGGAUUAGGAUUAGGGUUUCUUUUAGUUUCUUUUUUGAGUGCUGCUACGGGGACCCAAAAUAUGGGACCAAGGGAGGGGAAAGGUGAGGUGUCCCCUCCCUAUUGCAUAAUGAGUUGGCCAUUAAAUCAUUUUCCUUUUUUUUUAAUUGAAGUGGGCAACACCAUCCUAGAGGGAAAUUUCGUCUAGGAUGCUUCCCAGACAGUUUUUUCCAUCUAGGAUAGUGGGGCCUACUACAGCUAAAAGAACAUUUUAAGACAACAUGUCAUCCUAGACGACGUAUUCUAUCUAGGAUGCUUUCAAUUUAGACGGAGCAUCCUAGACGAAACUGUUUCGUUUGGGAUGCCCUCAAACUAGAUGGAAUCAUGGAAUAAAUUCCGUAUAGGAUGCACCGUCUAGGAUAUUCGUUUUUCUACUAGUGAAGUCUUCUUGAAGCAAAGGUAAAAUAUAUUAUAUUGGAGAAGAUUGUUUUGUCUUGUCAGAUAUGGACUUUUUUGCAUGAAAACAAUUUUAAAAACAUGUGUGUGCAUAGUGUUAAUGAGAGGAGGUGUAAAUUUUCAUUAUAAUUUCCUUAAGAAAAAACAUUAGAAUAUGUUGUUUUUGAGGAGAAAGAUUGUACCAAGCCCACUCAUAACCCUAGUCCUAGCUAACUAAGUUCAAAUUCAGGAUUCUUUUUGUUUGGUUGAAUUGAAAGUUGAACAGAUAUUCAUCCUUGUCUUCGUGAAUGAAAUUCACGAGAGAAGGGAAGAUUUCCGGGGCAUGUUGAUGUGAGAGCAAAUUCCAUCUACUUUGCUUAUGCGAAUUAAAUGAAAACACACAUGAAAUUUCAUCUAGCCAAUUGUUGGUUAUUUGAUCCAUUUAUGAACAAUGGUUGAAGGAAUACACAUUUUGGUCACACGUAAAGCUACGAAAGUACAAUUAAUUAAAAUUAAUAUAAGAAAUAGAAAAGAGAAGAUUGAACAAGACUUACCAAUUCAAUCAGACGCAUCAUGAUAUAUAAAUUUCUUCAAAGUGAUUACAUCUAGCCAAUUUAUUAGUAAUUUGAUCCAAUAUAUGUGGUAAAUAUGUUUCUCAACCUGUUACAGCUUCCAUUUUUCUGAAUUCUGUGAAGUGCUUAUUUAAAUGGAAAGUAUCUAUAGAAGUCUAAUUAGUUCUGCUAAUUCUUUAGCUUUAGACUAUUCUAGAGCUUAAAUAUUUCAUCUUAGCCUUUUCAUUAAUUUAUUUCUCUCUUUGGAGUUAUUGUGUUAUCCCAAACGAGUUAUUUCGGACGUUUAAUAUGAGAAAAUCAUUUGUUCGCACUGGAACGUAAUUGUCAAUCCUUAAAAACGUUUUAUCUCUUUUGUUUGCGAGACAGAAGAGUUAUCUGUUCCUCUUUUCCUCAUCAUAGUGAUAAGGAGGGAAAUCAUCACCCAGGUACAUUAAAGGAUUGAAUGUUAUUUCAGAGUUUUAAUCCUUCUAUUGAUGCAAGUUUCAGAAAUUUUAUGAAGAUGCUUCAAUUGUUCGUCAAAUGCAAGAAUCAAACAUCAUUCACUAGAAUCAAACAAAUGUUUUCUUUUUUUGUAUGUUUCUUUUGUCCUGUCACCUGAGAUCUUAUGUUGAUUUUUGGUGUUCCACCAUUGUUCUCCAUAAGGACAGUAUGUAUUGCUUUAGCAGAUGUCGGUUGUAACCUAAUUGAUUUUUCAUGUUUUGAACAUGAGGGACAUGAAACGAGAUUUAAUUGGAAAACCUUCAGGACAUGGAAAACUUGGGAGUCUAGGAGCUCAAGUUACUUAUUA